UACGGAGGGUGCGAGCGUUGUCCGGAAUCACUGGGCGUAAAGGGCGCGUAGGCGGCCUGAUAAGUAGGGGGUGAAAUCCUGCGGCUUAACCGCAGGGCUGCCUUCUAAACUGUCAGGCUAGAGCACGGUAGAGGCAGAUGGAAUUCCCGGUGUAGCGGUGGAAUGCGUAGAGAUCGGGAAGAACAUCAGUGGCGAAGGCGGUCUGCUGGGCCGUUGCUGACGCUGAGGCGCGACAGCGUGGGAAGCAAACAGG
rnacentral:rRNA from 1 species